UACGUAGGGUCCAAGCGUUGUCCGGAUUUAUUGGGCGUAAAGAGCUCGUAGGCGGUUUGUCGCGUCUGCUGUGAAAAUCCAGGGCUUAACCCUGGACCUGCAGUGGGUACGGGCAGACUAGAGUGCGGUAGGGGAGAUCGGAAUUCCUGGUGUAGCGGUGAAAUGCGCAGAUAUCAGGAGGAACACCGGUGGCGAAGGCGGAUCUCUGGGCCGUAACUGACGCUGAGGAGCGAAAGCAUGGGGAGCGAACAGG
rnacentral:rRNA from 1 species